rnacentral:rRNA from 1 species
GAUGAACGCUGGCGGCGUGCCUAAUACAUGCAAGUCGAGCGAACAGACGAGGAGCUUGCUCCUCUGACGUUAGCGGCGGACGGGUGAGUAACACGUGGAGAACCUACCUAUAAGACUGGGAUAACUUCGGGAAACCGGAGCUAAUACCGGAUAAUAUAUUGAACCGCAUGGUUCAAUAGUGAAAGACGGUUUUGCUGUCACUUAUAGAUGGAUCCGCGCCGCAUUAGCUAGUUGGUAAGGUAACGGCUUACCAAGGCAACGAUGCGUAGCCGACCUGAGAGGGUGAUCGGCCACACUGGAACUGAGACACGGUCCAGACUCCUACGGGAGGCAGCAGUAGGGAAUCUUCCGCAAUGGGCGAAAGCCUGACGGAGCAACGCCGCGUGAGUGAUGAAGGUCUUCGGAUCGUAAAACUCUGUUAUUAGGGAAGAACAAAUGUGUAAGUAACUAUGCACGUCUUGACGGUACCUAAUCAGAAAGCCACGGCUAACUACGUG